rnacentral:rRNA from 1 species
AGAGUUGAUCAUGGCUCAGGACGAACGCUGGCGGCGUGCCUAACACAUGCAAGUCGAACGAAGCACUUCCUCGGAGAUUCGUCGAAGAGGGAUUUGACUUAGUGGCGGACGGGUGAGUAAUACAUGAGCAACCUGCCCCGAGGUGGGGGACAACAGUUGGAAACGACUGCUAAUACCGCAUGAUGUAGCGGGAGGGCAUCCUCCUGUUACCAAAGAUUUAUCGCCAUGGGAUGGGCUCAUGUCUGAUUAGCUUGUUGGUGGGGUAACGGCCUACCAAGGCUGCGAUCAGUAGCCGGACUGAGAGGUUGAACGGCCACAUUGGGACUGAGAUACGGCCCAGACUCCUACGGGAGGCAGCAGUGGGGAAUAUUGGGCAAUGGGCGAAAGCCUGAACCCCCAGCAACGCCGCGUGAAGGAAGAAGGCCUUCGGGUUGUAAACUUCUUUUAUGAGGGACGAAGGACGUGACGGUACCUCAUGAAUAAGCCACGGCUAACUACGUGCCAGCAGCUGC